rnacentral:lncRNA from 1 species
GGUCUUUCUUUCAAUCUGGACGAUCCCUACUUGCACCAAUUCAACUGGCUGAAAUACAACUGCCUGCAUGACCCCCACCUUCGGGACUACCACAAGCGCAAGGACAUCCUGCGGAUGCUGAAGAGACAGGGCUUCGUCACCUGUGACAACAAGGUAGGUUUGGAUAUCAGGCUGAUCAAGAACAGCCCUCUUCAAGUGGGGCUCACACAGCCCUUGCUGCAGCUGCCUGCUGCUGCCAGAGGGCAGGGCCGUGUGCUGGUGUCCCUGAGAGCAGAAGCAGCAACAACAUCCCCCUGGCAAGUCCCAGAGCUGGGGUGAGGAGCCCUGCUCAGCCCUGGCUGGGGGAACAUCAGGGGCCCUGACACCGGGGCAGGGGGGAGGGCUUGGGGGCAGCUUCCCUCCCACUGGGGCCGGGCUGUUUUGGGGAUGGCCAUCUGCAUGGCUUGACAGUGCUUGGGGGAUUCUGCCCUCGUCCCUCCACAGGUGGUUUGCACUGUGAAGGACUUCAAUGAGUACAGGCAGUACCUGACCAGGCUCAAGCUGGAGGCAGAACAGAUCUUGGGGCAGCAAGAGGAAUGGCUUCUGCCACUUCUGGCCAAAUUAAAGGUUGGCCCCAAACUGCCAGGAACCACUGACACUUCCUGCCAGGCAGAGCAGCACGUGAAGCCACGGAAACCUUCUUGCCCAUGUCGACAGAAAAGCAGAGAGACCCCCCUGAAAUCAGGGAGAUUCAGAAGAGGGAAAAUAGCUUUGGACAAGGGCCAAACCUACUCCAGAGCUGAGCUGGGCCAGGACGAUGCCAGCACUGCCGCUGGCUCCCAGAGGAAGCCGGACAACACUGCUGACGGCCUCUUUAAAGCUGUCUUUGAGCGACUGACUGCAGCAGAAGCCCAGAAGCUGCAAGACGUGGUUGACACUGUUGUGCAUGAAGUCUUUGGGAGGCUCAGAGUCCCUCAGGAUCAGUAUGUCAGCUUUUUAAGGAAGGCUGCCCGGAGGAUCAGAGGAAUAGUUUUUGGUGGCUGUGUGAGAACAGAGCCUGUAGAAACAC